AGAGUUUGAUCCUGGCUCAGAACGAACGCUGGCGGCAGGCCUAACACAUGCAAGUCGAGCGCUCUCUUCGGAGGGAGCGGCGGACGGGUUAGUAACGCGUGGGAAUAUACCCUUCACUACGGAAUAGCCUCGGGAAACUGAGAGUAAUACCGUAUACGCCCUUCGGGGGAAAGAUUUAUCGGUGAAGGAUUAGCCCGCGUUAGAUUAGAUAGUUGGUGGGGUAAUGGCCUACCAAGUCUACGAUCUAUAGCUGGUUUUAGAGGAUGAUCAGCAACACUGGGACUGAGACACGGCCCAGACUCCUACGGGAGGCAGCAGUGGGGAAUCUUGGACAAUGGGCGCAAGCCUGAUCCAGCCAUGCCGCGUGUGUGAUGAAGGCCUUAGGGUCGUAAAGCACUUUCGCCAGGGAUGAUAAUGACAGUACCUGGAA
rnacentral:rRNA from 1 species